AAUAAAUCGAAUCCGGACCCGUAAAUUCCGGAAAAUUCUUUCGCGGUUAACAUGUUGUUAGUUUCUCCUUGUCGGGAUCGUAGGUAAACGUCGAACAACUCGGUUUCGCGGACCGUAGUUUCGCGGCGGAUGCAAACAUUACAUAGUUGGACGAGUCGAUUGUUUCCCAAUACUCAUGUGUGUGUGCAAUGAGUUACCCAGUGUUUAUCUUUGCUUCUUCGCUUAUUCGAAGAAGGUUGCAAGAUGUUAAAAGGGCCAAUCAGAAGCACCACAAAAGUGAAUCGAAGAAUUAGAAUACUUAAAUGAAAAUGAAAAUCCUUUAAACUUACCAGCAAGAAAGCGCAAAGCAAAAUUAGAAUACGAAACUUUAAAAUAGAAAUGUUAAGGCAUUUACCAUGCAGAAUGCACAAAUCGAAAAUAGAAUAUUCAAUUAAAAUGUCUAUGUAAAAGAGCAUUUACCAUUAAGUAUGCGCGAAGUCAAGCGAAUAUGUAAAUUCAAAUGAAAAUUCUUUUCAUUUUCAGGAGGGUCGACGGGGAAUUGUAACCGUUGGUUCCAAGUUAAGCUUGUGGCUCCACCACAAUUUUAGAAUUUUUCCAAUUCCUUUUCCCAGAUUUCCCUUCCUACGCCCUUUGUAAAUAUUCCCCAAUAUACUUCGGGUCAGAUACUCGCAGUUGGAUUUGUGAGCGAAUGAGUGGCUAUAUAUUUUCUGUCAUUUUGUGAGUGUUGCUUGAUGUCGAGCAGUUUGAGAAUCGGGGCAAAAGAUUACCUCGCCCUUUUUGUACCCGCCGACAGAUGGAGCACACCACAGUUAUGCAUUAGGGUGGGACGAAAAACGAGAAACAUAAAUGUUUAUUAUAAAAAAUUAUGCUAAACAAUUGUACCGUAUCCUAUAAAAAACCCCAGGCUUCAAAGCAGACAUUCUCUUUUUGCUGCGAAUACCGGGACGUUUAGUAGUGCGCGCGUGUGUAGUUUUUGUUAGAAAAAUUUCGAGGUUAGUGUUAAUUGUUAAAACCUCAUUGUUAGUGGAAGUGUUGUUAAUCAGUCUUUUUUUCUCUUUUGUUAGUGGUUUAGUCGUUUAGCCAUGCAAGUUAAAUAGUUAAUUGUUAGUACGUUAAAAAGGUGUUAGUACGGCAACGAAGACAAUGGUUCUUAAUCGUUAAAAUGCGAAACAAACAAGCAAGCAAACAACCAGUGUACAAAGAACAUCGCAUAUAAAACAACAAGAAAAGGUAAUUAAGUGGUUAAAAUUGUGAACAAGAAGAAUGUUGAGGUUUGUGCUGAGGACAGUGCGAAAUUCUAAUCUGUGAUGGUUAGGUCCAAGCAUUUGGGCCUUUUCUUUUUAUUUGUGGCCUUUCUUCGCCAGAAAAAGGUCAAAACCACGACAGCGCACCCCCCCCCCCCCCCCAGUGAAGUGCAGCAAAAACCCGCCAUUGCACCCGCAAAUACACGCAAUAGGCCGGCGGACACCUCAAACCGCCAUCUCAUCGAGUGAACCAAGUCGGAGGACGCCAAUGAGCCCGACAUCGGUUCCCAAACCAGCCCAUCACCAGUCAUCAGAUGAGCGGCCUGAUCACCCGCUCGUCCAUCCCCGCAGCUCCGUCCAACCAGCAACCACCAGCAGCAGUUCCCAAUCUGCCCACAACCUCCACUAAAAACCGCAAGUAAAACCACAAAACCAUAAAGAAAUGUGACGUCACAAUAAAAUUGUAUAUAGUAAUUGUAAAUAGAUUGCCUGUCCUUUUAAAGAGUAUAUUUCUGUUUAAUAGCAUUUCCACUACUUUUUGUAUUUUGUUCGUCUUUCCGGGUUCGAAAGGAACCGCCAAGCCUCGACGUCCCAGUACUCCUCCAUUUUGUUGAAUUUUGUGUUUGAGUCUGGUGCGGUUUCAUUUUGUUCCAUCUCUUGUUCCUUUUUGUGGGAGUUCCCUUUGUCCGCCA